rnacentral:rRNA from 1 species
GUCUAUGACCAUGCCACCCUGAACAAGCCCAAUGUCUGAUCUCAGAAGCUAAGCAAAGUCAGGCCUGGUCAGUACUUGGAUGGGAGAUCACCUAGGAAGACCAGGUGCUGUAGGCA